ensembl:snRNA U6 U6 spliceosomal RNA
GUGCUCGCUUCGGCAGCACAUAUACUAAAAGUGGAACAAUUUUACAUAGAUUAGCAUGGCCCCUGCACAAGGAUGACAUGCAAAUUUGUGAAUCAUUCCAUAUUUUU